ensembl:lncRNA
GUACGUACCUACACCACCUGUCAGCCAUGCUGUGGCAGCAACCCACAUAUAAAAUAGAGGAAGAUUGGCAACAGAUGUUAGCUCAGAGGCAAUCUUCCUCAGCAAAAAAACAAAAAAAAAAAGCUGUGGGACAAUUCAAGAUGGCUAAUAAAGGGGUAACUGGAGGCCCUCAAAGGAGAGAGAGUGUGGGAGAACUAUUUGAAGAAAUAAUGGCCAAAAACAUUCCAGAUUUGAGGAAGACUGUAAACUCAAAGAUCCAAGAAGCUCAACAAACCUCAAGGACAAGAAACAUGAAAAGUACACCAAGGGACAUCAUAAUCAGAUUUCUCAAAAUCAGUAAUAAAAAGAAAAUCUUAAAAGCAGCCAGAGAAAAAAGACAUGUUACAUACAGAGAAACAAAGAUGACCUCAGACUUCUGAUUGAAAACAAUGGAACAUGGGCCGGCCCCAUGGCCAAGUGGUUAAGUUCAUGCGCUCUGCUUCAGCAGCCCAGGGUUUGGAUCCUGGGCGAGGACAUGACACCGCUCAUUAGGCCAUGUUGAAGUGGCGUCCCACAUGCCACAACUAGAAGGACCCACAACUAAAAUAUACAACUAUGUACUGGGGGGGAUUUGGGGAAGAAAAAAAAAAAGCAGAAAGAAAAAGCUUGGCAACAGUUGUUAGCUCAGGUGCCAAUCUUUUAAAAAAAAGAAAACAAUAGAACAACUUAUUUAGAAGAAGUGAAAGAAAAAACUGUUGACCUAGAAUUCUAUAACAGCAAAAAGUAUGAAUUCAGACAAACAAAAGCUGAAAAAAUUCAUCACCAGCAGAUCUGCAUUACAAAAACAAAAAUAGAUUCAUACCUCAAAUUCAUCAGUCUCUAAACCUUAUCAGUUCCCUUCCCGUUUCUUCAAACUUGAAGCACUGUAUAAUGGCUUCAUGAAUGAUUUUAUUAAUUUCACUUUUUUCUCAACUUUCUUCCUAUAAACAACUACCAGAUUAAUUUUCUUAAAACAGUGCUUUGGAUCUUACAUUCUCUUGCCCAAAAACUUUCAAUGACUUGCAGUAUCCAUAUUAAGUUAUACACCAAGCAGUCCUCAGCCUGUUCUUACGUAUUGCAUAAAUCCUCCGUUCCGGUCAAACUGUUCUCCCUUCACCCUUAGCUCUUCCUCUUGCUUGAAAAGACAUUCCUCCUCUUUCUCCUUCGAAGCCUGUUCUUCAAGAACUAGUUUAAGCCCCAUCUUCACCAAGCCUUUCCCACGCCUUGGGUGAUAAAACCAUACUUGAAACCAAGGGUUCUCAAAUUCAGGUUCAUGGCUGACUUCAGGGAGUGUUGGAACUCCUUGUAAUUGUGUUCAAAAUUUUGUGUACAUGUUCACUAUAUCGUCCAAGUCUAUACCUUUCAUCAGAUAUUCAAAGAGGUGUGACUACCUUCCCCCAAAAUGGAAAAAUUACUUCUCCAAACUUCUGUGGCACUUCCCUGAGCUUUUAUUUGACAUGCAUAAUAUCCUAAAAGCAUUAUCUUCUUUUGGUAUUUUUCAGCAAAUGCUAAUUAUCUUGUAUUGAUAUUUACCUUUUAGUAUGUACAUGCUCCCUUUCAACCAGAUUGCAUGCAUACUCAAGGAUAUGAGGGACCUUAUUAGAAUUCUUUGUAUCCUCCAACAUUUAUUUGAAUACCCACAUGUGCCACUCUGUUCUAGCUUUUAGGAUGCAUCAGUAAACAAAAAUCCCUCACUUGCGGAGUUGAUAUUCUUGCAAGGAGAAGACAGGAUAAACAAUAAACACAAACAGCCAUUAUUAAAUGGAUGCGAUACUUAAUAUUUCACACAUACCCUGAAAUUGUCACAGAUUCGGUUCUCCAGGAAGCAGAUACUGAGAUGGAGUAAUGAGUACAAAAGGUUUAUUGAAGAAUAACACCUGUGAAGGAAAGAGGGCAUCAUCAGAAGACAGUGCAGACCUGGCAAAGUCUCUGCCAGCCCAACAGGGAGCUCCAGAGCCAAGACUGCUUGAUAGAGGAGUCCUGCAUCGGGGGAGAUGGCUAGACCCUUGUGCUGCUGCCAGCUAGGUCAAUGACUAGGGACCGCCUGGAAAACAGUGCUCUUAGCCACCAUGCCCUGUCAGUCAAUGGCUGAGAGAUGCCCCUGAAAGAGCAUGACCUCAGUUUGAAAGCUGAGAUGGACCCUGAAGGAGAUAACAGCUGGAGCCUGCCAGCUCACUACACUUCCUUUUUUUUUUUAAUUUAUUUUUUUGUAUUGCUUUUUCUCCCCAAAUCCCCCCAGUACAUAGUUGUAUAUUUUAGUUGUGGAUCCUUCUAGUUGUGGCAUGUGGGAUGCUGCCUCAACAUGGCCUGAUGAGCAGUGCCAUGUCUGUGCCCAGGAUCUGAACCAGCAAAACCCUGGACCCCACAAAGCGGAACGCAUGAACUUAACCACUUCGCCCUGGGGCCGGCCCCUCACUACACUUCUUGCAUCUGGGCAGCUGGUCCUUUCUUGAAGGGGGUGUAAGCAGCACAGCUCACGUCUUCCAGAGAUAGCUUUAAGACAGUAGAAGUAUAAAAGGUAUUGAAAGGCAUAGAAAGAUAGUGCACUGUUUGACGACCCAGGAGUGUAUAAAUGAUGUACAAUUCAAUUAUGCUACCAGUUCCUUUUCCAGGUGUAAAACAACACAGAACGCUUGAUUUAUACUCCUAAAUUUUUUCUUCCCCAUCCUUUGCAUCUCCAUAAAUGAUAGCACCAUCACCCACAUAAUCGCUUAGGUCAAAAACCUAGGUAUAAGGAAGAGCUUUUGGAAAUUAAAAGGUAUAACUGCCAAAUUUAAAAAUAUGAUUGCUCAUUGUAACAGGCUGUAAUGAAACAUUAUGAUAUUUAUUGAAGUCAACAAAUUCAUCAAAAGGUAGCUCCUGCUGACCUUUGUGUAUAUCUGUUGAACAUACAGACUUUUUCUUUCUUAUAUCAUCUUCCUUCUGCUUCUGGUUUCCUGUCUGGGGGUGUUCCUGAGUCUCACAAUCUUCUUUAUCUGCUGUGCUAAGUUUCAUUAUCUGUUUUUCUUGGCUAUUAUCAUUCUUUUUCUUCAUGAUUUUGACAGUAAGAAUUUUCAGUGUCCAUUAUGAUAUAGAGAUAAUUUUUAAUGUUUUAAACUUUCUGUCCAUCUUCUUUCUCUCACUUUUAUGUGUUUUGCUUCCACUGUUACCUCCUCAUCAUACGUGAAUUUUGGUGUGAUCAAUAAUUUGGAAUGAAUAUACAAAAAACUAAUCUGACAUGGACACAAAAA